ACCGAGAGCUUCAUGUAGAUGAUCUGCGAAGAUCAGACAUAUUGUGUGGCUGCAUUGUGAUGAUCAGACCUUUUCGAUGGUGAUCAGACUGCGGCAAUCGACUACCUGCACGAAGGUAAUGUGUUCUGAACACACAACAGCAAAAUAUUUACUAUAUAAUUCAAAAUUUUAAAUUUAAAAGCAUGCUAUAUAUAUCAUAUUUAGAU
rnacentral:lncRNA from 1 species